rnacentral:rRNA from 1 species
CCUACAGGUGGCAGCAGUGGGGAAUAUUGGACAAUGGGGGGAACCCUGAUCCAGCCAUGCCGCGUGUGUGAAGAAGGCCCUCGGGUUGUAAAGCACUUUCAGUGAGGAAGAACGCCUGGUGGUUAAUACCCAUCAGGAAAGACAUCACUCACAGAAGAAGCACCGGCUAACUCCGUGCCAGCAGCCGCGGUAAUACGGAGGGUGCGAGCGUUAAUCGGAAUUACUGGGCGUAAAGCGCGCGUAGGUGGCUUGAUAAGCCGGUUGUGAAAGCCCCGGGCUCAACCUGGGAACGGCAUCCGGAACUGUCAAGCUAGAGUGCAGGAGAGGAAGGUAGAAUUCCCGGUGUAGCGGUGAAAUGCGUAGAGAUCGGGAGGAAUACCAGUGGCGAAGGCGGCCUUCUGGACUGACACUGACACUGAGGUGCGAAAGCGUGGGUAGCAAACAGGAUUAGAUACCCCUGUAGUC